AGCGAUACGAAGAUCAGGAGACGUUCUAGUGUAGGAAUCGCCACGGUUUAUCGCGCAUUGAGUUCUCUCAAAUCUAAGCCAGAGAGCGAAACGGAAAAAACAGAAAGGGUGAGCGAUGUCGCGACCGAAAAAGAACCUAGAAGAAGAUCCCGUUCCAAAGAGGUUAAAAAAUCCGAAUCGCAAAUAAAUCGUUCCAGG